GGAGCUGCGUAUAUCGUUGUCAUCCGGCGUUCUCCUUCCUGUUGAAACAAAAACCAGUGACUUAUACAAGUCUGUGAAUUCCUGUGCAUCGUCUUUGUCGUCGUCUUCUUCUUCGGCGUUUACUUUCAGCUCUUCCUCCACGGGGGCAGAAAGUCAGCGGAAUCAACAGGUUGAGUCCAAGCUUUGUAGUUCUAGAAUGCAGAAGACUAUUAGGAGCAAGGUAGAGUUUCCGGCGGUCAACCGCAU
rnacentral:misc_RNA from 1 species